UACGUAGGGUGCGAGCGUUGUCCGGAAUUACUGGGCGUAAAGAGCUCGUAGGUGGUUUGUCGCGUUGUUCGUGAAAACUCACAGCUUAACUGUGGGCGUGCGGGCGAUACGGGCAGACUGGAGUACUGCAGGGGAGACUGGAAUUCCUGGUGUAGCGGUGGAAUGCGCAGAUAUCAGGAGGAACACCGGUGGCGAAGGCGGUUUUCUGUACCAUUCCUGACGCUGAGGCUCGAAAGUAAUGGGGAGCAAACAGGG
rnacentral:rRNA from 1 species